UGGGGAAUUUUGGACAAUGGGGGCAACCCUGAUCCAGCAAUGCCGCGUGAGUGAAGAAGGCCUUCGGGUUGUAAAGCUCUUUUGUCAGGGAAGAAAAGGCUGCAGCUAAUAUCUGCGGCUAAUGACGGUACCUGAAGAAUAAGCACCGGCUAACUACGUGCCAGCAGCCGCGGUAAUACGUAGGGUGCAAGCGUUAAUCGGAAUUACUGGGCGUAAAGCGUGCGCAGGCGGUUUCGUAAGUCUGUCGUGAAAUCCCCGGGCUUAACCUGGGAAUGGCGAUGGAGACUGCGAGGCUAGAGUUUGGCAGAGGGGGGUAGAAUUCCACGUGUAGCAGUGAAAUGCGUAGAGAUGUGGAGGAACACCGAUGGCGAAGGCAGCCCCCUGGGUCAAAACUGACGCUCAUGCACGAAAGCGUGGGGAGCAAACAGGAUUAGAUACCCGUGUAGUCC
rnacentral:rRNA from 1 species